AAUAAAUCAAUUUUUCAUUUUUUACCUAUAAUUUUUUACUUUUCGUUUUAUUUAAAUUUUUGCGAUUGAUACUUUUGUUUUUAUUAGAUGAUAAAUCAUGAAUAGUACUUUACGUGUGACUAAUUUUUUUUUAAUUUUCUGAAAUUUUUUCAAAUAAGACGGAUGAUCAAACGUUGGAUACGGAAACC
rnacentral:pre_miRNA from 1 species